AUGCGUAACGCGCUCAUUCCUCCAAAUUGGAGGAACGACGCGGAACCGCUCCUCCUCGUCUCUUCAUCUCUUUCCCCUGCGCCUUCUCCCUCAUCUCUCUCUUCCUCUUCAAUCAGCGUCCAGUGCUCUUGCGGCAUCUGGGGAGGCAAGCGAUGGCGACCGGCGGGCGCGCAGCUCGUGGCCGGGAAGACGGGCGGCGACUCCAGCACAAAGAUCAAGCCGGAGGACGCACCUGGUGAAGAGCGUCGUGGCAGAGCAGGUGAGCAGGUGCAGGGACGGGAGCGUGAAGGCGCAGGCCGGCGGGCGCUCGGCUGGAGCACCUCCCCGAUCUGGCGGCUACGGUUUUGCCAUCUCGUCUCUCUCUCUCGGGAGGAGCAGCCAUCCUGCCGUUGGCACAUCUGUACCGCGGAAGCGGCCAUGGAGAAGUGGAGCGGUGGCAUGAGAUGGAGUUGCAGCUAUCAGUUUGCUGAGCGGCACAACAUGAGCAGCUCGCGCAGCACUCAGACAGUGGCGUGCUACACCAUGCGAGAGAAAAAAGAAAGAGAAUCAGGUUGUGCUCUAUCGUGCUCUUUCACUUGUGCCUUUUGCAAUGUAAUUUUGUGCAUGCCCCUAGUCAAAUAUUGA
rnacentral:rRNA from 1 species